rnacentral:rRNA from 1 species
UACGUAGGGUGCAAGCGUUGUCCGGAAUUACUGGGCGUAAAGGGCUCGUAGGCGGCCAACUAAGUCGGAUGUGAAAUCCCCAGGCUCAACCUGGGAACUGCAUCCGAUACUGGAUGGCUUGAAUUCGGGAGAGGGAUGCAGAAUUCCAGGUGUAGCGGUGAAAUGCGUAGAUAUCUGGAGGAACACCGGUGGCGAAGGCGGCGUUCUGGACUGCAACUGACACUGAGGAACGAAAGCCAGGGGAGCAAACGGG